GAUGAAGAACGCAGCGAAAUGCGAUAAGUAAUGUGAAUUGCAGAAUUCAGUGAAUCAUCGAAUCUUUGAACGCACAUUGCGCCCGCCAGCAUUCUGGCGGGCAUGCCUGUUCGAGCGUCAUUUCAACCCUCGAGCCCCCCCGGGGGCCUCGGUGUUGGGGGACGGCACACCAGCCGCCCCCGAAAUGCAGUGGCGACCCCGCCGCAGCCUCCCCUGCGUAGUAGCACACACCUCGCACCGGAGCGCGGAGGCGGUCACGCCGUAAAACGCCCAACUUUCUUAGAGUUGACCUCGGAUCAGGUAGGAAUACCCGCUGAACUUUAGCAUAUCAAUAAGCGGAGGA
rnacentral:misc_RNA from 1 species